AUUGAACGCUGGCGGCAGGCUUAACACAUGCAAGUCGAACGAGUGGCGGACGGGUGAGUAAUGUCUGGGAAACUGCCUGAUGGAGGGGGAUAACUACUGGAAACGGUAGCUAAUAACGCAUACCAUCGGAUGUGCCCAGAUCGGAUUAGCUAGUUGGUGGGGGAAAGGCUCACCUAGGCGACGAUCCCUAGCUGGUCUGAGAGGAUGACCAGCCACACUGGGACUGAGAAACGGUCCAGACUCCUACGGGAGGCAGCAGUGGGGAAUAUUGCACAAUGGGGGAAAUCCUGAUGCAGCCAUGCCGCGUGUAUGAUGAAGGCCUUCGGGUUGUAAAGUACUUUCAGCGGGGAGGCGGUACCCGCAGAAGAAGCACCGGCUAACUCCGUGCCAGCAGCCGCGGUAAUAC
rnacentral:rRNA from 1 species